UGUAUUUUUCUUUUUAAAAUUUAAGACCUGAAGACUCUGGGAGGUGUUUUUCUGUCCAUGGGCUUUGAAUUGGCAGUUUCAAACGAGAUUUUUGUCCUGCCUGGAAGCAUCCCAACUUUAAAAGCACAGCCCUGUAAAGGUCUACUCAAAAACAAACCCAUCUAAGUUUAGCGGAGCUUCCUGCCAAAUAAAUGGGCAAGGAUGGGAAUCGUGCAGCUAUUUACGUGGGCUCCGGAGCACAAAACCAACCCACAAAAAAAUUAUAUUUUGGAAUUAUUUUCAUAAAAGGAAGAGAUUCCUGUCUUGUAGAUGUGACUCUCCUGGAUGAAGAAGACGUGAGCCCUACAAACCAACCAUGUUUUAGCAAAAUAAUGAUCUUAAUUUUAGAACUGUAGGGAUAGAAAGGACCCUGGAGUCCAGCCCCAGUGGGGAAUCGAACUCCCAACCUCUGGCUCCACAACCAAAUGCCAAAACUAGUUAUCUGGGAGGGUGCUCUAAACUGGAAAUGCUGAACUUUU